rnacentral:rRNA from 1 species
UUAUGUUAACAAACUAAUGUGGAUAUAAAGAGGAACACCAAAGGCGAAGGCAUCUAUCAAGAUUUAACUGACACUGAGGUACGGAAGCAUAGGGAGCAAACAGGAUUAGAUACCCUGGUAGUCUAUGCAGUCAACGAUGAUUGUUAAAAAAAUUAAUUUUUUUUAUAGCUAACGCGUUAAAUAAUCCGCCUGGGGAGUACGAUCGCAAGGUUGAAACUUAAAGGAAUUGACGGGAGUUCUUACAAGCGGUGGAGCAUGUGGUUUAAUCUGAUGAUCCUCGUUGAAUCUUACCAAUUCGUGAAAGUCAUGAAAGAGAGUUUUUGGAGCUGCUUGCAGUGUUGAAUGAAAUCUUUCUUGUUCAUGGCACAAGUGUUGCAUGGCUGUCGUAAGCUCGUGUUGUGAGGUCGAAGGUUAAGUCCUAUGAACGAGCGCAACCCUCGAUUUUAAUUAUUUUAUCACAUAAGUGAAAAAGUUUAAAAUAUACUGCUGAGGAGAUCUCAGAGGAAGGUGGGGAUUACGGCAAGUCGUCAUGGCCUUUGAGAAUUGGGCUACACAUUUGCUACAAUGAGAAUUUC